rnacentral:rRNA from 1 species
GGAAACGGUAGCUAAUACCGAAUACUUGUUUUCUUCGCCUGAAGGAAACUGGAAAGACGGAGCAAUCUGUCACUUGGGGAUGGGCCUGCGGCGCAUUAGCUAGUUGGUGAGGUAACGGCUCACCAAGGCGACGAUGCGUAGCCGACCUGAGAGGGUGAUCGGCCACACUGGGACUGACACACGGCCCAGACUCCUACGGGAGGCAGCAGUAGGGAAUCUUCCGCAAUGGGCGAAAGCCUGACGGAGCAAUGCCGCGUGAGUGAUGAAGGUUUUCGGAUCGUAAAGCUCUGUUGCCAGGGAAGAACGCUUGGGAGAGUAACUGCUCUCAAGGUGACGGUACCUGAGAAGAAAGCCCCGGCUAACUACGUGCCAGCAGCCGCGGUAAUACGUAGGGGGCAAGCGUUGUCCGGAAUUAUUGGGCGUAAAGCGCGCGCAGGCGGUCAUGUAAGUCUGGUGUUUAAUCCCGGGGCUCAACCCCGGAUCGCACUGGAAACUGCGUGACUUGAGUGCAGAAGAGGAGAGUGGAAUUCCACGUGUAGCGGUGAAAUGCGUAGAGAUGUGGAGGAACACCAGUGGCGAAGGCGACUCUCUGGGCUGUAACUGACGCUGAGGCGCGAAAGCGUGGGGAGCAAACA